rnacentral:lncRNA from 1 species
GGUGCUUAUUUUAUAGUGGGUUAAAGCAGACAGUAGCCAUGUUGCUUAAAUUCAUGUCUCUUGGGGUGGAGGCCUUCAUGUGGUUCUGGUCUCUAGGCUUUUUUGGGGUUUUAGUACUUUUCUGGUCACUAGGAUUCUUGUCCCUUACAUGUAGUUUUUGCAGUAGAAGAACACAGAUUAAAAUAGCUAUUGGGUUGGGCUUGGUGAUAGUGAUUUAUAAGGCGCUUGUAAAGAUACUGGAGUCUGUUCAAGACAUGUAUAGUUUAUGGUUUUUUCAUCCUACCCUGCAUCCUAGUUCCAGUAGUAUGUUCUGGGGGUUUAUUAGUAAUUGCACCUGGUUUGUUAGAGGAGGAGCAGGGCAUGAGGUUUUCCAGCCUCUCCUUUCCUUCUUCUUUUUUGAAUCUGUUAUGUCACUUUUUGAGAAUGUUCAGUUUCCCCUGAAUGUUAAAGAGACCAUUUUUCUAGUAUUUAUUCUUGUAAACUUCCUUUAUACAGCCUGCAGUUUCUCUAGAGUGAAGGCUGAGAUGUCCCGAGGACCUGAUGAAACCCCUCACCCAGGUGUGGAAAAUUCUGAGUGGUGUGGAGAAUGGGAAAAUAUGGGCCAGACCCUAAAGGAAUUUUCUGACCCUGUAGAGUGGGAUUUUCCACGUGAACAAAUUCAGAACCCAGCUGAGGUGGGGAAAUACCUGAAAGAGAAGUGCCACAAUGACUCUAAGGAGGAAAAGCUAAUUGCAAUAAGCUGGGCCCUGGCCUAUGCUUAUCGCACACUGCUAGAUACUGUAGGCCAGCAGACAGAGGCAGGGGGGCAGGGAGAUAAACCAGCAGCUAUCCCAGUCACUCAGGCUGCAGACAACACCCCAGUUACCCAGGCUGUAGCUAAAACAGACAGUGAACCUAAACCACUGGCAGUCGCUGCAGGAAAGAAGAAAAGCAAAACUGACCGGCCAGGGACUGAUGAUGAUGAUCCAGGAGAAGGACCCUCAAAGCUAAUUACUGACACAAAAGCCGGAGUUAGGGCAACUAAGGCAGGAUCAGAAGCCACUACUGAGUCCUAUUCCCUGAAGGACCUUCGUGGCCUAAGAAAGGAUUACACUCGACGACCUGAUGAGUCUAUAAUUAGUUGGUUAGUCCGUCUUUGGAAUGCUGCAGGGGAGGCUACAAUUCUGGAUGGCACUGAAGUGAGACAUUUGGGAUCCCUGUCACAUGAUCCUGUCAUUGAUCAAGAAAUGAUGAGGGGGGCUAACCCUCGCAGCCUCUGGGCACGGGUUUUGGAAAGUGUAGCAC